GGAAAAACAUCAGCCUGAAGCUACAGAUGCAGAGCAGUUGGUGAUGCAUCAGCAUCAAGGGUUCAGGUUUCCCGAGCUCCACGCUUGUCUCGGGAACGACUACGGCAGGACUGGGCGCAGAAGGACUGGGCGCAGAAGGACUGGGCGCUGAAGGACUGGUCGUGGAGCUCCCACGCCAUCUGUGCAGUCUCCAGGAACGGGGAAGUGAUGUCGGCUUUUCGGUGAUUGCGGAGUUCACUGCUGUUUUUGCCCCUUUGCAAAUAUAUUUUGUAUUUAUGGUUACUUUGUUUUAUCCAGUAUUUUGAUUAUGCAUUGUUUUGUUUUCUCUCCAGACAAGUUGUUUAGUUUCUUUUGUUCUUCCGUAAACCAACUGGAGUGUGUCCUACACUGGGGUCCUCAAUGCCAGUGCAGGUGGGCUGAUCAUAGGUCUAUAGGUCGUGGUUCACAGGUGGAGGGCUUCCUCAUUCAUAGUUUAUUUGGCAUGUUUUAUAUUUGUUGUGCUCUAAUUUGUGUGUUUUUGUUUUGUAGUGCAUGUGUGACUUUUCCUUUCUGCUCCCUGGUUGUGGCCCCUUUCCCCUUCACCCCCCCACUGCUUUUGGCCUCCCUGAUAGUCACCUUGUGCUGGUAAAACACCUCAGUGUAGCGACAUCGAUUUUUAGCAUAGAAGAUAUUUUUGUAAUAAAAGACUUAUUUUUAAACAGACUGUUAACCAACAUGAAGCCUAUCCAUAAAUACAACUGGACACUGUUCAAAA